rnacentral:lncRNA from 1 species
GGGGCGAUGGCCAAUUUCUUCGUUCUUACUCAUUUCUUGCUCAUUUCUCGCGUGCAUGUCCUUCCUCGCUCUAGUACCACUUCCGUAGGUGAUCACGGUUGCAUUUAGCAUAUGCAACAAGCCCUUUAAACCCCUAGAUAGCUCUAGUGGACGAGUGUGUUCUCGUGAGGGUUUGUAGAAGAUGUACCCACAAAAUCUCAAGCUGUGCAAUGAAUCCGCAAUUCUCUAUUCUUGCAAUAAAGUACUCAAAACAACCUCAAAAAGAUAGAAAUUCGCUUCAUCACUCCAACUCGUGACCUGGACAGAAAAACAACAAAAACAUAUCAAAAGACACAAAACACUUAAGUACAACCACCCAAUUUAAGUGGAAAUGAAGGCCUAUAAGUGUGUAUAAAUACCACUUAUCA